AACCAGUACCGUGAGGGAAAGGCGAAAAGAACCCCGGAGAGGGGAGUGAAAUAGAUCCUGAAACCGCGUACGUACAAGCAGUAGGAGCCUCUUCGUGGGGUGACUGCGUACCUUUUGUAUAAUGGGUCAGCGAGUUAUUGUCAGUAGCAAGGUUAACCGUUUAGGGGAGCCGUAGGGAAACCGAGUCUUAAUAGGGCGAAUUAGUUGCUGGUAAUAGACCCGAAACCGGGCGAUCUAGCCAUGGCCAGGUUGAAGGUGCCGUAACAGGCACUGGAGGACCGAACCCACGUAUGUUGAAAAAUGCGGGGAUGAGCUGUGGCUCGGAGUGAAAGGCUAAUCAAGCCCGGAGAUAGCUGGUUCUCCUCGAAAACUAUUUAGGUAGUGCCUCGUGAGUGACCACUGGGGGUAGAGCACUGUGUCGGCUAGGGGGUCAUCCCGACUUACCAACCCGAUGCAAACUCCGAAUACCAGUGAGUUUUAUCACGGGAGACAGACGGCGGGUGCUAACGUCCGUCGUCAAGAGGGCAACAACCCAGACCACCAGCUAAGGUCCCUAAUAUCAGUUAAGUGGGAAACGAUGUGGGAAGGCUUAGACAGCUAGGAGGUUGGCUUAGAAGCAGCCAUCCUUUAAAGAAAGCGUAAUAGCUCACUAGUCGAGUCGGCCUGCGCGGAAGAUAUACCGGGGCUAAACUGAUAACCGAAGCUGUGGAUGCACAUUUAUGUGUGUGGUAGAGGAGCGUUCUGUAAGCCGUUGAAGGUGAAUCGUAAGGUUUGCUGGAGGUAUCAGAAGUGCGAAUGCUGACAUGAGUAACGAUAAGGGGGGUGAAAAACCUCCCCGCCGAAAGAUCAAGGUUUCCUGUCCAACGUUAAUCGGGACAGGGUGAGUCGGCCCCUAAGGCGAGGGCGAAAGCCGUAGUCGAUGGGAAAUCGGUUAAAAUUCCGAUACCGAUUCUUACUGCGAUGGAGGGACGGAGAAGGCUAGGCUAGCACGGCGUUGGUUGUCCGUGUUUAAGCGUGUAGGUAGGGGGAUUAGGUAAAUCCGGUUCCUCGUUAAUCUGAGACGUGAUGACGAUCUUUUGGGGCGACCCUUAAGAGAAGUAGUCGAUGCCAUACUUCCAGGAAAAUCUUCUAAGCUUCAGGUAAGAAUUGACCGUACUGUAAACCGACACAGGUGAUCAGGUAGAGAAUACCAAGGCGCUUGAGAGAACUUGGGUGAAGGAACUAGGCAAAAUGGUACCGUAACUUCGGGAGAAGGUACGCUCGCUUCGGUGAUGGAACUUGCUUCCUAAGCUGAGGGGAGUCGAAGUGACCAGGUGGCUGCAACUGUUUAUUAAAAACAUAGCACUCUGCAAACUCGUGAGAGGAAGUAUAGGGUGUGACGCCUGCCCGGUGCCGGAAGGUUAAUUGAUGGGGUUAUCUUCGGAGAAGCUCUUGAUCGAAGCCCCGGUAAACGGCGGCCGUAACUAUAACGGUCCUAAGGUAGCGAAAUUCCUUGUCGGGUAAGUUCCGACCUGCACGAAUGGCGUAAUGAUGGCCACGCUGUCUCCACCCAAGACUCAGUGAAAUUGAAAUCGCUGUUAAGAUGCAGUGUACCCGCGGCUAGACGGAAAGACCCCGUGAACCUUUACUACAGCUUCACA
rnacentral:rRNA from 1 species